rnacentral:lncRNA from 1 species
GAGAUUACCAUACUUUGGAGUGAUGAUAUUUUUGUGGUAGAAGAACUUGGUGAAUCUUUGUUGUUGAGGGGGAGAAGGUAGAAGCCUGUUUAAAUAUUUUAAAGAUCUUGUCUUUGAAGUUGUUGCCUUUCAUUUUCCCUUUGAAAAAGAAGCCAUUAUAGUGGAUACAAAAAGCUUGAAUAAAGGUUUCAAACUUUGCUAGACUUGUGAAAGGGUAGCGAUUUGUUGCUCUAGGUGGGAGAAAAAAAUUGUUGAUUAUUUCUAUUGAGAGAAUAGAGGGGAGAUGAUAUGGAGAGAGAGAAAUAAAAAUUGCUUUUGAUAGAUGUUGGGG